UAUCUUUGCAAACUGGUUGAAAAAUUCAAUCAUAUACAUAAAAAUCAUUUAAACAUAAUAUUGGAAUG
rfam:Cellulophaga algicola DSM 14237, complete genome.